rnacentral:rRNA from 1 species
GACGAACGCUGGCGGCGUGCCUAAUACAUGCAAGUAGAACGCAGUUGCGAACGGGUGAGUAACGCGUAGGUAACUGCCUCAUAGCGGGGGAUAACUAUUGGAAACGAUAGCUAAUACCGCUUACUUUGAGAUGGACCUGCGUUGUAUUAGCUAGUUGGUGAGGUAAAGGCUCACCAAGGCCACGGUACAUAGCCGCCCUGAGAGGGUGAUCGGCCACAAUGGGACUGAGACACGGCGCAGACUCCCACGGGAGGCAGCAGUAGGGAAUCUUCGGCAAUGGAGGGAAGUCUGACCGAGCAACGCCGGGGGAGAGAAGAAGGUUUUCGGAUCGUAAAGCUCUGUUGUGAGAGAAGCGGUAACUAAAGAGAAAGGGACGGCUAACUACGUGCCAGCAGCCGCGGUAAUAC